rnacentral:lncRNA from 1 species
UCCAUAGCACCACAGUUAAUGAUCUAACGGAAUCAACGCUUUGAAGAAGCUUCAGACUUUUAUCCGGCAAUUUAAUCGGAAUAAAAGCAGUAGUAGUAGAAAUGCGAAAUUCCAAUAUGAUCCUUUGAGUUACUCAUUGAAUUUCAAUGAGGGGAGAGGAAAUAACAGAGAAGAGGAGAAGGAAUUGGUACUCAGAAAUUUCUCGACGAGAUAUGCAUUGAUUUUGACAACUGGUAAAGUGUCCAUGGACGACGGACCCAGUUUCGUUUGAGUGCUACAGUUGCAAAGUUUCUACUUUUUUGUUGGUAUAAAAAAUUAUAUUUGGGAUUGAUGUUGUCUUUUUUUUUUUUAAUGGUGGACUGUAUAUAUUGUUUUCUCUUUAUGAAGGACUAUUCAAUUGAUUUCCAUUUUUUUGGUUUGAAGUCUGCUGAUGGUUGAUACUAGGUGGUAUUUGAAUUCGGAAAACAAUAUUGAGGAUUAAUUAUGUGUUUAAAUUAAUUCUAAAAAACUGCUUUUAA